rnacentral:rRNA from 1 species
UGGGGAAUAUUGCACAAUGGGCGCAAGCCUGAUGCAGCCAUGCCGCGUGUGUGAAGAAGGCCUUCGGGUUGUAAAGCACUUUCAGCGGGGAGGAAGGCGAUAAGGUUAAUAACCUUGUCGAUUGACGUUACCCGCAGAAGAAGCACCGGCUAACUCCGUGCCAGCAGCCGCGGUAAUACGGAGGGUGCAAGCGUUAAUCGGAAUUACUGGGCGUAAAGCGCACGCAGGCGGUCUGUCAAGUCGGAUGUGAAAUCCCCGGGCUCAACCUGGGAACUGCAUUCGAAACUGGCAGGCUAGAGACUUGUAGAGGGGGGUAGAAUUCCAGGUGUAGCGGUGAAAUGCGUAGAGAUCUGGAGGAAUACCGGUGGCGAAGGCGGCCCCCUGGACAAAGACUGACGCUCAGGUGCGAAAGCGUGGGGAGCAAACAGG